UACGAGUGGUCCAAGCGUUAUCCGGAAUUAUUGGGCGUAAAGAGUGCGUAGGUGGAAAUAUUAGUCAGUCGUUUAACCCAUGGGCUCAACCUGUGGAUUGCGAUUGAAACGGUAUUUCUUGAGGAUGUGAAAGGUGUGCGGAACUCAUGGUGUAGGGGUGAAAUCCGUUGAUAUCAUGGGGAACACCAAAAGCGAAGGCAGCACACUAGCACACUCCUGACACUGAGGCACGAAAGCGUGGGUAGCGAAUGGG
rnacentral:rRNA from 1 species